CAUCUCCGUUCCCUUCCCCUCACAGUUUGGGUGUCGCCGAAUCUCACUGGAAUUGGUUCGCCACCUUAGGGAGUUGCCGGGACUGGUUCGUCACCUCUGUGGCCUGACGAUCUGCUACCCACGCACUCUACUCCUCCCCAGGCAUCAGCAGACACAAUUUGGAAGCAAAGAAAAAAGGGAGUGCAGGCUAGAAUGCUAGAUUAUUCAGUACUAAUGUUUAAACAUCACCGCCCAGGCUCACUACAAUGGCCCACGAGAUGCCAUGGCCACAUGUGUGGCGGCGAUGGCAGCAUCCAGGCCCACAUCAAGGCCUGCGCCGCGCUGAGAGCCAUCUCCGUUGUCACCGCACAUAACACCAUUAGUUCAGGUCUUUUAGCUUCGUAUCUGGAGGAAGCUCAAUUAUUCUAUGAAUCAUAUUGUCACCAGUACAUUGGGUCAAUAUUGGGUCUAUAAGUCAAGUCAAGGCAGUGAUCACAAAUUAUGUUGUACAUCUAGCAACCAAAUAUUUAUUUGGCUCAAUUGAAGAUUUCAGUAUUUGUAAGAACUUUACUAGACCGCGAUUACUACAUUUUUAAAUUCAGUGCAGGCCCUAUGUAUAACAAGCUAACAUUUUUCUUAUGCUAUAGCCAUUUCUAUA